rnacentral:lncRNA from 10 species
CCGGCCUCCACCUUUCGCGGCCUCCAGGCCGCCGGGCCGCCCGGGCCUCUUCUCCGUGCUCCGCUGCCACCGACGCCGCCGCAGCCUGCCUGGGAGGAGGGGUCACCGUUCGGGACAAAAUACCGCAGCGCUCACGCUUCGCCCGCCACUGCCGCCUAGAAUGAGGAGGAGGAGGAGGAAGGAAAGAUUUUCUAAAACGAGGAAGCUGAUUCGCAGAUUGAGGGCAGAUCUGGGCAAACGAUCUACGGAUCUUUAUGACCCACUUUGUCAACAUGGAUUGGGAAAGGAAAAACUAAUCCUAGAGGUAGUAAAAGUUGAUGCCUAAAUGUAGACAGUGCAAAUGCAGGGAACAUUUGGAGAUUUUAAAACCUUACAGCGUUUACCCCAGAAAACUGCUUACUUUACCCUCUUCAAUUUAAUCCCCAAUCUCCCAAGCAGUUUUUUUGUUUUGUUUUUUGCUUUUGUUUGUUAAGCAGGAAGGAAACCAAAGGACAAAAACCCCUAGACUGUGUAAUGCCCAGCAACCUAUUUCUGGAAUAUAGUAAGCACUCAACUAAUGUUAGACACACGCAGAAAACACACAAUUUUAUGCGCUUGUUUAUUUAUUUGUUUUUGCUUUAAACGGUAUCUAUUCAAACCCAAAACCUUAGUGGCUAUUAAAAUAUUUUUUAAAUCGGAAUACUAUAAUACUUGAUGCCCUGCUAACAAAGACUAACAAAGAUAGUGCGUUAUGUUUCAGAGGUCAUUAGUUUGUGGUACUAAAUUCUUAACAUGAAUUGUUUUGUCAUAGUUGUAUCAUAAUAAUUCAAACUGAUAAUGUAUCUGAUGUUAAGUUUUUAUUGUCAUUGUCAUAAUUUUUACCAAAAAAAUAAAAAAUAGCCUCUGGCAAGC